rnacentral:rRNA from 1 species
AUUCGGAGGAAAAGAAACCAACAGGGAUUGCCUUAGUAGCGGCGAGUGAAGCGGCAAAAGCUCAAAUUUGAAAUCUGGUACUUUCAGUAUCCGAGUUGUAAUUUGUAGAAGCAACUUUGGUGAUGGUCUUUGCAUAAGUUCCUUGGAAUAGGACGUCAUAGAGGGUGAGAAUCCCGUUUAUGGUGAAGAACCCACACUAUGUAAAGUGCUUUCGAAGAGUCGAGUUGUUUGGGAAUGCAGCUCAAAGUGGGUGGUAAAUUCCAUCUAAAGCUAAAUAUUGGCGAGAGACCGAUAGCGAACAAGUACUGUGAAGGAAAGAUGAAAAGAACUUUGAAAAGAGAGUGAAAAAGUACGUGAAAUUGUUGAAAGGGAAGGGAUCUAAAUCAGACAUGGUAUUUUGUGAUCAACAGUCUUUCGGGACUGUGCACUCGCAUUUUACUAGGCCAGCAUCGGUUAGAAGGGGGUAAAAAAGAUUUUGGAAUGUGGCUCUUCGGAGUGUUAUAGCCAAGGUUAAUUGCCCCAUUUCUGACCGAGGACCGCGUCUUUGACUAGGAUGCUGCGUAAUGCGUCAG